rnacentral:lncRNA from 1 species
GUGAAAAGAGAAGGCAAAUCAAGAAGUGCAUGAAAGUCCCUCUUACCCAUGAUUUUGAGAAAAAAUGGAAACCCCCUCCAUAUAAAAAAGAAAAGAAAAGAAAAGAAAGGACAAAAAGAAAAAAAAGAAUGAAAAAGAAAGUUGUGGAAUAAAGUACAAAAGAAAUGGGGUCUCCUAACAAUUCAUGGGAAGCGAAUAAUAGGAUGACUAAUGAGCACUAAAGAAAAAUGAUGAAGGAAAAGGGAAGGAAUUGUUGUGAGCAUCACAUUCAUGAGGAUCUUUAGUCACUAAGCCUAAAUGACCAUACUUUUGCACUCAGCCCCAUUACAAGCCUUAGAAAGUCCUUUUUGAUCUUAAGCAAGCCAAACCGAAGGUUUAUUGGAAAAUAAG